rnacentral:rRNA from 1 species
CAGCCGCCGCGGUAAUGCGUAGGGUGCAAGCGUUAAUCGGAAUUACUGGGCGUAAAGCGUGCGCAGGCGGUUUGUUAAGACAGAUGUGAAAUCCCCGGGCUCAACCUGGGAACUGCAUUUGUGACUGGCAAGCUAGAGUGUGGCAGAGGGGGGUGGAAUUCCGCGUGUAGCAGUGAAAUGCGUAGAUAUGCGGAGGAACACCGAUGGCGAAGGCAGCCCCCUGGGCCAACACUGACGCUCAUGCACGAGAGCGUGGGGAGCAAACAGGAUUAGAUACCCCGGUAGUCCCUGUCUCUUAUAC